rnacentral:tRNA from 1 species
CCUCGUGUUUCGAGAGGAUCGAGUUGACCUUCUGGAGGUCGGCCGUGGAGGGUUCGCCCUUCAGCUUUGCCAGUUCGGUUACCGUCUUGAGGUC